GCGGAAGUAGCUCAGUUGAUAGAGCAUUAGCCUUCCAAGCUGAGGGUCGCGGGUUUG
rnacentral:tRNA from 1 species